rnacentral:tRNA from 1 species
GACCGAAUGGCGUAGUGGUUAGUGACCCUGACUACUGUGCCGAUGGUCCCGGGUUCGAUUCCCGGCUGGGGCA